UACGUAGGGUGCAAGCGUUAAUCGGAAUUACUGGGCGUAAAGCGUGCGCAGGCGGUUUUGUAAGUUUGUCGUGAAAUCCCCGGGCUCAACCUGGGAAUGGCGAUGAAGACUGCAAGGCUAGAAUCUGGCAGAGGGGGGUAGAAUUCCACGUGUAGCAGUGAAAUGCGUAGAGAUGUGGAGGAACACCGAUGGCGAAGGCAGCCCCCUGGGUCAAGAUUGACGCUCAUGCACGAAAGCGUGGGGAGCAAACGAGG
rnacentral:rRNA from 1 species